rnacentral:lncRNA from 1 species
UUUUUCUAAAUUAUAGUUGAUUUACAAUUGUGUGCCAAUUUCUGCUGUAAAGCAAAGUGAUUCAGUCAUACAUACACAUAUACUUUAUUUUAUAUAAUCCUCCAUGGUCUGUCCCAGGAGACUGGAUAUAGUUCCCUAAGCUCUACAGCAGGAUCUUGUUGCUUAUCCAUUCUAAACGUAAUAGUUUGCAGCUACUACCCUCAAACUCCCAGUCCAUCCCACUCCCUCUCCCUUCCCACUUGGCAACCACAAAAUUCAGCUUUGCUUGUUUUGACAUUUACUAUUGAUAAGGGCCUAAAUUCUGUGAAAUUGUUAAUUCAUAGACUUUAUUCCGCAGUGGGGGAAAAACUGUCACCAGCUUUGUAUUUGAACCUACCAGUCUUAUCCCAAUUUUCUUUCUGUGAUGCUUAUGAAGAGUUCUUCAAAUGCUCUAUGAACAAAUUUUAUUACACCCUUGUUUCCUUAUUGCAGAGUUAAAUUUAUCUUUGGCAUACAUUCCACUCCGUAUUUGAAAGAAUCUUUUUUUUUAAACUUUACUGUAUAUUACACUUUGACACGCUAGCAUGUUCUCACAGUCACCGUAACUGGUCUGUGGCUUCUGAAUUCAUUACUUUACUUGCUUCUCUCACAUUCUACCUCCUGUCCAGACGGACUACUAGCAUUCUGUAUUUAUUUUAAGAAAUUCUGUUGUAAAUGUAUAAACCUAAACCUAAAUUAUCCAUCCUAAAGAAAAAUGAAUGAGAAAUAGUGGCUACUGAACUACGGAUCAAAUUUAUUUUAAAAAAUUAGGUGUACUUGACCUGUAAUGAGUUUCAUGUGUACGACCUGUAUAACUGGUAUUUUUAUAUACUGUGCAAUGAUCAUAAAAAUUAAGUCUAGUUACCUUAAGUUAUCUUCCAAAGUUUCAAUUUUUUUCUUGUGAUAAGAAAUGUUAAGACAAAUUCCAAAUAUGUACUCCUAUAUUAUUGACAGUAGUCACUAGGCUAUACAUUGUAUCUCCAUGACUUAUUUAUUUUGUAAAUAGAAACUAGUCCCUCUUAACACUCUUCACUCAUUGUACCGACCUUCAACAUCCCUUGCCACUAGCAAUCACCAUUAUGUUCUCUAUAUUUAUGAGUUUUGCUUUUUUUUGUUUUUGGAUUCCGAAUAUAAGUGAGGUCAUAUUGUCUGACUUACUUCACUUAGCAUACUUAGCAUCCUUAAGAUCCAUCCAUGUUUUUGCAAAGGGCAAGAUCUCGUUUUAUUUUAUAGCUGAGUAUUCUACUGUAUGUGUAUGUAUAUAUCACAUCUUCUUUAUCCAUUCAUUCUUCAGUGGAUACUUAGGUUGUUUCCAUAACUCAGAUCGAGCUUAAGUAAGUAGUUCACAUCACUGGACAUCUCCAGAGAGACACCAGUUACUACAGGCUGUGCAUUACACAGAAAUAAUUGGCUCAGGUCUCUUCACAAUUUCCUCACAAAAUUUCAUAAGGUAAGAGAAAUGCCAUUUCCCUUGAAACCAUUUUUGGGCCAGCAAUGAAUAUUAUCCUUUAAAAAACUGACUAUCUAGGAAAUUCAGUUCAAAUUGUAAUGCUUAAAAUCUUUAACUAUUUUAUUCUUUUAGUUUGAGGGACAUGGAUUUUAUAAUCAUAAAAAUCAAAUUCAACCAGGUUUAAGUCAGUGAUGCUAGCACAAGGUAGACAAAACUGAUGAUACGAGUAUUACGGUCCUAACGUCGUUGUGAAGAUGAAUUGAGAGGAUGUUUAAAAGAUCGCACAGCAGGUGACCUACAUUUAGAAGACACUUCUUCACUUAUCAUUCUGCUCUGUCUGUCCUUCUCCUCAAAUUCUUUUUGGUUAGAAUAUAUAAUUAAUUCCUAUAAUAAUAGCUAAGAUCGUUGAGCAUUCAUUUUGUGUCAGGCAUUCGAGUUAUAUGAAUAAGUUAAUUUUAAAAUGCAAUUAUGGUACAAUAUAUAAGAAAAUGAAAGAAAAACAGUUUCAGUUAUAAGCGAACAUAGAUGGUCUAUAUACAAUGCCUGAGUCGACUAAACAUUUAUGACUUGUUUGGCUGAGUUUGUACGGAAAAGGGAUUCAUUUCACCUUGGUUUUCCCUACCAUAUCCAGGCAUCAGCAUUUCAUUUUCAGCCUAAAUAUUUCCACAUGCAUAUGAAUUACCCUGGACCCUCAUUUCCUCUCAAGCGUUCAGAUUUUUAAAUAGUCUAAAAGGAAUAACUCAUAAUUCUGUACUAUAAUCCAAAGACUUUUCAACUCAGCCUCUCUGGUGUGGCCAGGGUUAUGGUGAAUUUGAGUGACAUAAAAGAGUGGACUUGAGAAAUGACUCCAUUGUCAAUUUGCCUAGGGUUUUUGACACCUUACAUAAGGUCAAGGAUGGGAAAAUAAAUGCCACAGGCUGUUACGAAAAGUAGAUGAGAAUUCAGGAAAGCAUCAGCGCAUGUGAACUAUUCAAAAUACUUGAUUUUUAAAAACAUGCAUAUUAUUACUCUCAUGACACUGCCUCUCUUAUGGCCAUUUUAUGAAUUGUGGUUCACUGACUUCACGCUGGCUGCUCCAAUGAAAGCAUUAGAGGCUGUGGUUGUAUUGGACUCCUCUUGGAUGUCUUUCUGAGUUCAAGGUGGAAGUUUUCAUGCACAUAGUACCUCUAGAAAUAACACAUUUCCAAGAGCUUUUGAUGGCCAAAUGAAUCAAAUUAAGAGUUCAAUUUAAAUAAAAUUUAAGCAAGCACUAUUGUUUAAUUUGAUAUUUCACUAUAGCAAAUGCUGUGGGUUGGGUAUAAAUUCAAGGGUAUAAUUAGGUAUCCUUAACUAGUUCUUUACUUGUAUAUUAAAUUAAAUUAAAUUGAUUUUUUUAGCUCUGAACUAAAUUUCCUGCAGAGAAACUUACCUCUUAAUUACCUAUAUUUUUAAUGUCAAAAAAAAGCCUACUGAUUCCUUAGUUUCAUCUAUCAGUAUCUACUUAGAAAAUUAUUUGGGCAGUAUUUUUUAUCAGACCAUGUCCAGAAUAAUUCUUCGAUAUCAGCCCCAAACACAAGAACUUCUAAUCUGUGGAAAAUCCAGGAUCCAAACAGAUGAAAAGUCCUUUGCCGUCACAAAAUGUUAACCUCAGAGUAUAUCUGGUGCCAGAGUAUUGUCUUUAUUUCUCAAACACAUUUCUCUGAUGAUACAAAUUUGCCCUGAUUUAGAGAAAUGGCAUAAGAAAACUUCAAAUUUUAUCGGCCUAGAGAUUUCUGCAUCUAGCAGGGCUGAGAAAGCUCCUACCAGAUUAAAAUGUUCAUUACAAGAUUAUUUUUAUUGGCAAAUUGUAGAACCAAUACAAAUACAGCUAAGACAGGUUUUGGUAUACCCAAACAAUGACAUACUAUUCAGCAAUAACAGCGAAAAACUGCAGACAUGUGUUUCAACAUGCAAAAACCUCAAAUGCUUUAUGCUAAAGGAAAAAAUUAGGCAAAACAUACAAUAUACUCCAUUCAUACGAAAUAACCAGAAAAGGCAAGAGGUAAAAUAUGGGUAGUAGUUGCCUGGGGAGAUUGGCUUAAAUGGGUAUUAGAGAUCUCUUUGGGAUGAGAAACAUGUUCUAAAACUGUAUUUCAUAAAUCUCCAAAUUUACUACAGGCCAUUGAAUUAUACUAUUAAAAAGGUCAACUUUGUUGUAUGUAAGUAUCUUAUAAAUGUAUUCAAAACAAGCACAUAGAAACUGUGUAACUCUAAAAGACAAUAUCCAAAAUAAAAAUUCAUUGGACAAGCAUAAUAUAAAAAUAAAUAUGACAGAGGAAAGGCUCCUUAAACAAAGUUAAUCAAUAGAAACUACCUAAUUUAAAGAGAAAACCUGUAUAAUGGAAAAAAUAAUAACAAAGUCUCAGGGACCUAUAUUUAAUAUAAUGAAACUUGAAUCCAGAUCAAGGAUGUGAGGUAGAAAAUAUUUUGAAUAUAUGCUAAUUGAAAAUUUUCCAAAUUAGGUGAGAGAAAAAAUUUUAAAUUCAAAAAGCUCAACAGAACCCUAGCAGGAUAAGUAUAGCACAACUAUGCCUGCAUGUCAUAGUCCUACUCCCAUAAAUCAAAGACAGAAUCUUAAAAGUCAGAAAAAAUAAAUUACAUAUAGGAAAAUAACAAUGUGAAUGUCCUUUUACUUCAGAAAUCAAGCAGACAACAUCUUCCAUGAGUGGAAAGGAGAAAAAGACUAUCAUCGUUAACAAGAAUAAUAAACCCUUUACCCAGAAUUCUAUAUCUGACAAAAAUAUUCUUCAAGAAUGAAGGUAAAGGAGUUCCCGUCAUGGCUCAUGAAAGUAUAUUUAUAUAUUUUAUUGUUUUCAAAUAUUACAUUAAAAACUAAACAAAUAUUGUAUGCUAGUGAUUUGCAUCCUGAAGUCUCUAGGGAGAAAGGAACAUGUCUUUGUGAAAUGUGUUGAAAUCAGAUGGAAUCAUGGAGGCAUAGGUAGGUAUGUAGAUGCAUAAUAAAGCAAGUACAGAAAAUAUUAAUGGUGGGUCUAGGCAAUGGGUGUAUGCGUAUUCACUGUCAUAUUUUUUCAGUAAAGGUGUGUGUUUCAAAGUCUGCAUUAAGAAAUUUUGAAGGAAAAAAUGCAAAAAAAUCCCCCCAACCCUUAGGGGAUCCUCCAACUUAAGAGUUCCAAACAAGAUAAUCAGUUCAACUUCAGAAAUAUUUAGGAAAGAAAAAAAAUUGAAUGUUAAAGUCAAUUCCAACUAGUUUACUUACCUUUCACACACUGGCCUAAGUCUCUUUUUAUAGUGUUAUAUAUCUUAACUUUCAUUUACCUUCUAUAUUUCAGAAACAUUAAGCUAGUUAUUUUUCCCAGAAGUAUCUUGCACAUUUGUGAUUAGUUCCCAAAGGAGGAAGUUUGGUUUUAUCCAUUCAGAGAUAAUUUUUCAGCUUUUAAUAAUAAAAUAGAUUGUGAAGGAAAAUUAUAAUUAUGUUCGACAAGAAAAUUAACUUUGUUAUUAUAAUUCUAAAGCUUUCUAAUUUGUAACCCUCUUUUCAAUAUCAAAGUCAUUGUUUUUAGAUAAUAUAAUUUUGAAAUAAUGGAGAUUUUUGUAGGAACAAAACUAUAGCAGAACCACUUAAUUACAAGGUUCAUGAGGUCAGGAGUAGUGUCUAUAGUGAUCACCACUGCACCCUCAGCACUAGCAUGGUCCUGACACCCCAUAUGCUCUCCAACAAUAUUAUUCAUAGCAAAUAUCCAAUGUAUAAAAGAGUAUUAUAUUAUUAACGUCAUGGGAUUUUGUAAAAAAAAUUUGCUCAAUUGUGACAGUCUUUGACAUAAGUUGUUAUACACAGGAAGUGCUGAAUAAAUAUGAGUUCUUGUCUCUGUAUAGCCAUUGGCAUAGCUUAGUCUUCCAUCAGGGAUACUAAAUUCAGGAGCGGGAUUAAGUGGGGGGCCUAUUCCAAAUAUUAGAAAGGGAGAGAACAGAUGCGAAAGGGCUCACCCAUUGUCCCCAGACUUUCAGAGUUACUGUUUCCUUUAACUUCUUUACAUCAGCAGUAAUAACUACCAGAUCAAUAUCUUGCCUGAAACAUUUUUGUUGAAUAGGACAUACUCUCCUCUUCCCCCUCAAGCUAGACUUUUGUCUAUAACCAAACAAAGAGUGUGUGUUAAGAACAGACCGAUACACCCAAUUUCUAUUAUUCUCGGAAUCCAUGGAGAUCAGGGAUCAAGUAGUAAUGUGGCUAGGAAAAUGAUGAUGGAAUAAAGAUUUGCAUUGAUUCUCCAGCUGCCAAUACCAGCGAACACUCAGGCUCUCAAUCAGGGUCUUUGUUUAAAUGCCUGCAGUUUAAGAAAUGCCUAUUAAUGCUCCUUGAUAACUCCCGGCUAUAACAACCACCAUUUCUGUAAACCAGCAGUAGUCAAUUGUUGGCAGAUGCAGAAUCCUAAGAUUAGAAUUUUCAAGGGACUGGAAGAAAAUGGAAUUUACUUCACCCACCUAGUCUGUCUUGCUUCUUUCAUCUUCAGGUCAAUUCAAGUCCAUGAACAUUUGCUAACCACUGCUAUGUCCUAAGCAAGAGAAGCACCUGUCCUUGUGUGACUGGAGAAGCAGACAGUACAGGGCUUGCUGGGCCGCCAAGUAAACUGAGUGCAGAGGUGAUGAUGGUGGUGUUGAUGAAGGUGGUGACAACUUUCUCCACUGGAAUGCUUUCUCUGUGGUAGAUAUCGUUCUGGGUCCCUAACAAGGCAUAAACUUAUACCACGUAUUGUCAAAACACCUUAUAAAAAUGUCACUAAUUACCUCAUUUCACAGACGGCAAAACUGAGGCAUCAAGCUGGUUACUUGACUAAGGUAACACAGCAUACGAGUGUAGAGCUAAGAUUUCAAAUCAGACAUUCUGUCUCCAAAGCCUGAGAUGUUGAGGGCGCACAAGGGAGGACAUUAUUCUAAUGGGGGUACUUAAUAAAAGUUUUACAGUAAAAGUGAUAACAUUUGAGCAAGAAUGUGGGGCAUUCGGUGUUAGGAUGUAGACCUAUAGAGAGAACCGUAGGUUCCAUAGGUCUAUAGGGGAAGGUAUGAAAGGCAGCAGGGUUGCCUGAGCAAAGACAUG